UAUAACAGAACUGAUAUCGCAGGCGAAAGCCUGAGAAAAAUCCAAUCCGGAAGUGACUCAUCUUUUGAAAGCUCUGCGUUCCAAUGCGUCCCUAUUGAGCAGUGAAUGGGCUAUCAACCAGAUUCCCUUUUCUCCGUAUUCCCCAAGGUGUCUACAGCAUUGUGACGUAGUUUUCCGUUGAUGAUUACGCUCCCGGAUCCGGGAUGGCUUGUUACAACAGGUUUUAACAACAACAACUAAAUGACCUAGCUGUGGAUUUGUGUGUAUGCCAAUACCCAGGCAUAGUCUACAGUCGGGAACGUGCCGCUAAUCUGUCAAUGAACAGUAUGCAGACAAAAAAAAACAGGCGUUUCGCAAUAUUUCAAAUACAACUGCGGGAAAACACAGGUUGGAAACCGAAUGGCUUCUGCUGAAAAGAGAAGAGUCGAAUCUGUCUGCUAUAGGCUAACAAAAAAUUGCACAAAGUAAAACAAGAGUGAGAUGUAGGAGUUUGGCAAGAACGCGCCGGCGAGUGAGCUGCGUAUAAUUAUUUUUCAGGACUAUAAUUUCCUCCUCAUAUACCGUAGCCUACAAUAUGUGUCUCCACACACCUUGGCCUAGGUAGGCUAUUGAUGGAUUCAAGACAAGUGGUUUUUAUGUAUCUCAGAUUCUCAGCUUGUCAUAGUAGCCUGUCAGUUUGAUCAUAUGUGCAGUAUUCUUUUUUUCUUUUAUUCUGCCAAAGCCUCCAGUCAUGUAAAAUGAUGUAGAAUUGCAUGAAAUACGUUUAUAAAGUGUCAAAAUUUUCCCGGAGCUAAUAAAAUGUUCCCCAUGUGCAAGUGCCUCUACUCUACUGCUCUAUGCCAUUCCACAAAUGCGAUGAUAAUGCAGGGGAUGCUUUAUUAUAAAGGUGAGUUGAUGGUUUAUUAUAAAGGUGAGUUGAUGGUUUAUUAUAAUGGUGAGUUGAUGGUUUAUUAUAAAGGUGAGUUGAUGGUUUAUUAUAAAGGUGAGUUGAUGGUUUAUUAUAAAGGUGAGUUGAUGGUUUAUUAUAAAGGUGAGUUGAUGGUUUAUUAUAAAGGUGAGUUGAUGGUUUAUUAUAAAGGUGAGUUGAUGGUUUAUUAUAAAGGUGAGUUGAUGGUUUAUUAUAAAGGUGAGUUGAUGGUUUAUUAUAAAGGUGAGUUGAUGGUUUAUUAUAAAGGUGAGUUGAUGGUUUAUUAUAAAGGUGAUUUGCAUGUUCUGGUACCUCAGAGCUCCCCAGGUCACCCCCCUCUCGCGCUCACUUUUUGUUCUGGCACCUCCCGAUUUACAAAUUAAGCACCGCAUAGGUUGUUAUGCUCUUUUGACUUGUUAUAAGCUUGUAUGAACCUUUAUAAUGUCUUGUAAUGAAGCAUAAAAAAUGAAGCAAAAAAAAAAGGUAAGACGACAGGAGUAGGCUCAGACUCCACUCUCCCCUUCCUGUCCUCUUUGGAGCUAACUAGGACAGUAUAAGUGUCCUCC